rnacentral:lncRNA from 1 species
GUUUAUCGUAUAAAGGAGCUGUUGUCAUAUUCUUUUUUUUUUUGAGACAGGGUCUCACUCUGUCACCCAGGAUGGAGUGCGACAGUGCCAUCACAGCUCACUGCAGCCUCGUGUUGUCAUAUUCUUGAUAGAGAUUACAUUAUUUAACCUCAGAACAGCCCUCGGCCCCAAUUACCUUGGACUUACCUGGGAUGAGAUCACACUGGGUGAUGAGGCUUCAGGCUUGACCAACUCUGACUGGCUGGCUGCCGAGACACUGCUACUCAAUGGCCCUUACCAAAUGGCCUCAUUUGAUCAUCACGUGAUCUCCAGAAGCUGGACUUGAUUAUUCUUGCCAAACAAAAUGCUGAAACCAACAAUCUGAAAGGUAGUUCUUGCUAAGUAAGGGAGAGCUGUGAUUGUAGAGUGUGGUCACCCUGAACAGAGCAGACUGCUCGUGGAGCUCCAAGACUGGCAGACUUGGGAGGGGGAGCAUUUAGAGACUGGA